rnacentral:lncRNA from 1 species
AAAAAGCUCAAGGACGUACAUACAGUAGCUCUAAACCUGCAGUGGUGUGGGGGAUGUUUCUUGACUGAUAUUGGAAGUGUAGAAUUAGCAUAAUCAGCAGUCAUUACUCCAGAGUCUCUGGACUCUUUGAUACUCUUGCUGUGAGCAGAAUGUGCUUCAACAUGCUGUGUUCCACUCAUUGAGAAAAUGAAAGAUUUGAAGAGACUGUGGAUUAAUGAUCUCCAGUUGGCCAGUUUCACUUGUGUAGGUAACAGCAGAUGGCAGAAGAGGGGCAGUCUGACAAAAUGGUGUCUGACAUGGAAGUGCGGAUGAAGCAAAGGUGUGUCACUGACUUCCUUCAUGUGGAAAAAAUGCCACCCACUGACAUUCAUCAGUGCUUGCUGAAUGCUUAUGGAGACCAAAAAGUGGAGAGCAUGUUCCCUAGCCUCACAGACCUCAGAUCUGUAGUUGAAGCACUGGAGCUGAAACCGUAUCAUUGGCACUGGGACAACUAGGCUGGACUUGGAUAAUUCCGGAAUCCUCACUGCAAGACCUGAUACAUCUUCUCAGAUGGGACAGUUAAGCAGUUUCACUAUUACUUGCUCUCCUUCUUCCCUAUUCCCCUGUGGUUGAUUCACACAAAAAUAAAUUAUCUUCAUCAGCUAUACUUUUCAUGCACAGCUCUUGGUCUAGGCUGCUGGUUUAAAAGAUCUGAAUUAAAAUCUAUUUACUUCCAGUGUCACGUUGAAAUACUGGUUUAUUUGCAGGAAAUGUUUCAUUUUGUUUUUCUUUUAGGAUUCUUUUUUCUUUCACUUCCUUUAUUUUAAGAUAUAUUUUACCACUUCCUAUUUCAGCCUUUGUAUAAGUACUUGUUGAUAAUCUAUUAUUUUUUCUAAUUAUAUUUUUAUAUCUCCUUUAUUCAGUGUACUGCUGAAGGAAAAGCAGAACAAUAAUGAAAGUAAAUGAGCUAUAUGGUUGAGAUGAAAAUUAAAUAGCCUUUCUGAAUUUGUCAGUUUUCUACAUAGUUUUUAUUUGAGAGUUUAUUAUAAAUGCAACCAUGCUGAAUUGAAGUUGUAAAGACUUGUUCUGCCUUUCCCUACUUCCUUUGUGCUUGCUUUUGUGGCUGUGGUGAAGCAUGAAGUAUUCAAUUUAAUAAUUACAUUUAAAAGAAAGUUAAUUAUACAAAGCUGCUCUGUGCCACAUCCACAUAAAUACAUUUAGUUGUCAAAUUUGCUGAAAUUUGAAUCUCCCUGGAAGAGCGUUAGUAUUACAAUUUCGCACACUUCAACAGCAGCUAUGUAAAUACUCAACUCUGAAAUCAAAUGCUAAUUUUUCCCAAGGAUUAGAUAAGUCAUGUAGCUAAUAUUUUUGUUGACUUUUAUCCCAAUAAGAUUUGCACUGUCCUACUUAUAAUGUGAAAAAAUAGAUUUCUGGUUAGGACACUUGGCAAUCACGGGGAUGUUGCAGUUCAGAUCCAGUUGUUGAUGUGUUCUCAUACAUUUUCAGUCACAUCAUGUUUUUAAAACAUGCUCAGUCAUAUUUUUAGGAUAUGUUGAUUUUUUUUUGUGUUUGGAGGUGAAGACAAUAUUUUACACAGUCAUAUAUACUGUAAGCUGCUAAAUAGCAUAUCCUUUUAAUGUGACAAAUAUCUAUACUGUUAGCUAACAUGGACAGUGCAAUCUCAUUGUGGGAGUUAAGUGAUGAGAUGAAAUAGCCCAUGAUCUUGGAAAUGUGGGUUACAGUUUCUUAGGUAUUACAGACUAUAUCACUAAUGAAGCAAUUUGUUCUGUGUCCACUCACAUUUCAUUUGCUGCCAUCAACAAUUAAGAGAUGUCGUAGUAAGGUCAUCGUAGAUUAACACCUUGUCUUUGCAAAGAUCUCAUUAAAAUAGAGAGGAAUUCUAAUUCCUAGCCAAGAUAAUGUUAAUUUGAUGAGAGAAUAAAUAUUGUGGAAGCAAUUUGUGCAAGAGAAAUGAAUGUUAAAAGUAUUAUUCUCUUUUCAAUAAAAGAAGUAAUUCUUACAUGGAAAGAUAGCCUAUUGAAAAAAAUAGUCAGACAUGUUACUGCAGGAAAUGGUUAGAUACCUUGGCCUGGUUAAGGAAGCAUGUCAUGUUGUCCGAGAUUUGCACAGAUGUGCAGAGCCAUAAAUAAAUUGAACAGAAAAUAAGAUUUCUCCCUUUGCUGGUUGCCAGUGUUACAGUUAAACUACAAAGAAAGUAAUUUCUCCAACCAUCAUACAUUUACUUCCCAGUCAUCCUCGAAUGCUUGUAACAGUGAAGGGCGUUGUAAUUGACAUUUCAUUCUAAUACACUGGCUGCCUUGCCUGAAUUUUGGCUGGUUGAUAAGGCUCUUGGAAAUCCAGAGUCUCAUCAUGUCCUGAACAAUUUCAAUCCAGCCCUAUGGCAAUCUAAGUGCUUAACCAGCAAAACAGGAAAGACAAUAUUUGGAGAUGCUACCUUUCAAAAUGCACACAGCAGAGUAACUGAAAUAAUCAAAUUGCUCCUGAAUAAUCCUUUUUCAAAUUUGAAAGCAGAAUGAAGAAAAGAUUUAAAAGAAUAUACAUGUCAAUUUAAGCAAAUAAAAUGUGCAGACAUGAAUUCAUCACAACUGUAUUGUCACUGACGUUGCAUUUCAGAUAAAUUUGAUGAUAAUAUCACAUUUUUUUAAAGGAGGAAAAAAAUCAAUAAUUUUGUCUACAGACUUUGCAUUAUAUUCCAGUUACUUGAAAGAAAAUGUCAUGUGCAUCAACUCAUUCUUCAGGAUGUACUUUCUGAAAAGAUGUGGAUAAUAUUACAUAGACUAAGGUAUUGAUCUCUCAAGUUCUUCAGAAAUGAAGUGUCAUGUCUUUCAACUUGUUCUUCUUUGCGAUUCCAUCAUAUUUUCAUUCAUAUGGGCUUCUUUUCUUGAAAAUGUAUUACUUACAUGAUGAGCUUUACUUCAUUCUAAGUCUCUGAAAAAUGCUCAUUUUUCACAGCUUCCUUUUUCUGUAAUUGUAUGUGCUUUGUAUCAGAAGUUUAAACAGAAGUUUAUCUGACACAAUAAUUAUGCAGAUGCAAAGAUUUUUGUACUUGAUUUAUAUAAAUGCUGUGAGGUUUGAAUUUGUUUCUUUUCCUUUUUCUUUUUUUCCUUCUCUCUGUCUUUUUUUUUUUUUUUUUUUUCUUUUUUUCCCCUUGUUGCAGUGUAUGGAAAUCUAUGCUGAUCUUGUCAAUAAUGGCUUAUCCACUGGACAGAUGAAAGUUGUAUUUCUGCAAAAGACAUUUUAUUUUAUUUUUUUGUCUGUGGCACCUCAGUGUAGAAUUUUCACAUUUUUUUUUUCUGUUGUUGCUGCUCUUAUUGAGCAAAUAAAGAGGGAUCACACAAGGUCAUCUCUUUCCUGAAACAAGAAAUAAUAAAUUAUUGUAAUCACUAAAACACAGAAACUGAAAAUAACCCUGCCUACCAAAUUCCCAGAGCCAAAUUUACUCCCCAGGUAUGCAUUGCUAAGUCAGGUUGGUAAAGCAUCUUAAAAAUCAAGCUGUGGAGCUGAAUGUAGAGUGAGGGUUUCUCAGAGGCUCUGUGUAGUUUGCCACUAACCUGAACGUCUGGAAACUCUAACACUGAAGAUCCCUGUUCAUGAGCACAGCUCAGAAUCAGUGAGUUGAGCAGAGUAAUGGCUUUUCCAGCUCAAUCUUCUAUUGGUCCCUGAGAAUAAGAGCUGCUAGUAACUAAAGAUCAUAUCACAGAAUCACAGAAUCAUAGAAUGGCCUGAGUUGAAAAGGACCUCAAAGAUCAUUUAGUUACAACCCCCCUGCUAUGUGCAGGGUUGCCAACCACUAGACCAGGCUGCCCAGAGACACCGUCCAGUCCAUUCUCUGGCAGCAAGGUCAAAACAGGUGUAAAACUGUCUGUAAGUGUAACAUUCAGCUCCUGCUCUGCAAGCAGAUUUGGUGAUGUUCUUUUACGCAUCCAAACCCCUGAACUGUGCCCAGGAAUCAUUUGAGAGCAUGCUAAUUCAUCCAGACUAGAACAAGGCUAGGGCUGAUAGUAAAGGUAACCAAGAUCAACUGCCUGGGGAAAGGUUCUCUGGCUUUGUAUAAUGUAGGAGUACAUAGACAGCACUGAAACUUUAGCACUUUAGCUCCCAUAUGGAGUCACACUUAGAAAUCUGGAAGCAAAAUGAUUUUGAUUAUUCUGAAAUUAUGUUUCUAUUAUUUUGCCCCAGUGAGUAAUUUACAAAAUUAAAGUGUGCUUAAUUCUAAAAAUCUAAUAUAGUCACUUUGCUACUAGUGAGAAUAUCAUCACUCUGUCUCUAAUUUAGUCUUGUAACUUUUGAGUCACCUUCAUCUCACGUUUCCAUAAGGGACAGAUUAUGUCUACAUUUUGUUAAAAGCUUAACACAUGAUAAACAUUUGCAGGGGAACACAGCUACGUUUGAGCUGCUUUAAGGCAAUGGUCCAUGUGCAUGCCCUACCAUGUGGAACCCUGUUGAGAAUCAGUUUAUUCAGGUGAGCAUAUUCUUCCCCGAAACACAAGUCAAUAGAUCAUAUUUAUUGUGGAGCUUUGUAGGGAAGGAAAUGCAUACAGUAUGAUGGAAAAACUGAUAUUUGGUAACUUCUUUUCUUCUCCUUGUGGCAAUUUUAUUCGUAUGUUUAUUUGAUACCUGUGAAAUUAACUCUCCAUAUUCUCCCAUGUGGUAUUGUCCAGAGUCUCCUGUGACUCAUAUUUUCUUCUCUGGUCUCCUUGUGUAUUGUAUAAAUAAUUUUUCUCCUCUUUAAAGGCUCUCCAUAGCCAUCUCAAUCCUAUCUAUCAACUAUCUGACACUGUUGUCAAUUUAUGUGUCUGGUUGGCUUGCUGUAAUUAAAUAAUCACUUUCUUCUUAAUCAUUUUUAAGGAGCUACCUAUAAAUAUUGGCACUUUUUUUCAAUAGUAAAAAUCAAAAUAUUUUUUAAGAGUGUUAUUUGCUAUGGCAUCCAUGAAAAACUAUAUCAGCCAAGGACCAUAUUGUACUGGGAUCAUUUAUGUGUCAUAAUGGUCUUAUCUUUUCCUUGUAUCUCCCCUCCCAAUGAACUAGAAUGUAGUUAUCUAGCCAUGUGUGUCAAACAACAGUGUGAUUAUUACUGAACAGGGGCAUUAUUUUUGUUCUGCGUUCAUACAGCCUGUGAAACAAUAGAGAUAUCACUGAGCUGUUACUUCUUUUUUUUUUCCAUAUGUGCAUGAAAAACACAGCGUUCUGUGGUAAUUUUGAUGGCAAACAGCAUACAAAGAAAAGCUUACUUUCAGAACAACACGCCCCCCAGAACAAACAAUUUAUAAAACUAAGCAACUUCUCUGCCACUUGCAAGAGUCCAAAGCAUCUGUCUACAUCUGCCUUGGGCACUGGAAAAAAGGCCCAGGGUAGUGAUUAUGGCACCAAGCCUUCCAGAAUUCAAGAAGCAUUUGGACAACAUCUUCAGACAUAGGGUUUGAAUUUUGAGUUGUCCUGUGUGAAGCCAGGAGUUGGACUUGAUGAUCCUUGUGGAUCCCUUCCAACUCAGGAUAUUCUACCAUUCUAUGAUUCUAUGUUGUUUUGAAUUUUGCCUGGUGCAGAUUAUACAUUCUUCAGCACACUAAGGCAAACAGUUUGGGAAAUUCUGUUUAAAGCAGCUUAAUUGGCCUAAUUCUCCAGAACUUGGAUUGCAAAGGGGUGUUCUCAGCCUACAGUCAUCUGGAAGCUAUAGCUUAUCUCAAAGAUAAAACUAGGUUGGUUCUUACUGUGUUUGAUAUAUGUGUAAAACUACAUACAUAUACACAGAUGUACAUGUAUGCAGACAAUACAUCUGUGGCAGCAUGCUCCUUCAUUUCUGUUCUCUGAAGUACUGAAUCAGAAUGUGAAAAAUAAAUUUGCUUUUGGGUUAUUAUCAUCUCUAACUAAUCUAAAUCAGUUUCAGAUUAACCCAUUUUCUCCCCAAGGUAAAAUUAGACACCAAAUUUCAGCAUGAGAAUCAAUAGUCCACUACUGACUUGCCUUUAAAUUGCAAUAUUCUAGGUAUCAUUACUUUAAAUUUUCUUUAUCACAUUCAUAAAUUUGCAUUUUCAUAAAGUUCCAUAAAAUAUGAUAAUAACAGUAAUAAUAGUGAACAGAUUGAGGGACACAUACAGAUACAAAAAAUCGUGGAAGUGAAGCAGUGUCAAGGAAAAUAAUUUGCUGCAAUGGUAGGAGAUUGUCAACUUUCACACAGGAAGUCAUUAAAUUUUUUCUCUUUUGAAUUAUAAUUUUGGCACUUUCAUAUAGCAGCAAGGUAAUAGAUUUUCAUUAUCCAGAGUGCAAAAACAUUGGCUGUGGAAAAAGCAACAGAGCUCAGAUUAAUAGGAGAUGACAAGCUGACCAAAGAGGAAGUGGCAGCAUGGCUGGCACCAUGGCUCAGUGGUUGUGACAGGCAAUUAGUGAACAGAGCAGAACAGAUGUAACAGAAGGCAGCAACAAUUUACUGAAGCAUUAGCUUGCUCACUCUGUAGUACAGAGCACUGAUAGUUUGCUGAUACGAAUAAAUACUAAUAUGAUCUCGGGAGGUGAAAAGAGGUAGUGUGCACAGUCAUCUUACAAAUUAAAAAAAAAAUCAACAAAUAAAGCAAUAACAAGAAAAACAUUACAAACAAACAAAUAAACCAAGCAACCACCAUGACUAGCAACAAAAGUAACUACUCAAAACCAAACCAAACCAAAAACUAGAAACAAGAUCAAGUAGAUGCAAGAGAAAAAAGACCAGCCUUAUGUCCUUUUCAAGACUUGAUUGAGAAUCUUGCUUCAGUACUAGAUUGCAGCAUGCUUGAAAAGAGAUCAUACAGCAGAGAACUUGCAACAGUGUGUUCAUUUUUCACAGUACUUAAAGAGAAAGCACAGUGUUUGUUUUUGUUGUAUUUCUUGCUGUUGUACUAGGAGAGGCUUACAUUAACAAAGCUCCUUGAUGUUGCUGCUGGUUGGCGGAGAAUAGGAGAAUGGGAGAUCUUUGUGAUUACAAUGUUACCUUGCUGAAUUUAAAACCCAAACAAACAUAACACCUUCCUUGUUAUUUCUAUUUAAGACCACAUGUAUCUAGUAUUAUGCAAAAUUAUAUUAAUUUACUUCAGAGAACUUCUAGGCCUCAGUUGUCUUAUGUCUCAAAGGACUAAGUGAGCCAUAUGUUCAGGAAAGUUGGGAUUGAAUAAGUUAUACUUGUUAUACUAUACAAGCGUUGUUAUGAUAUUCCUAAACAUAGUGAUGAAGCUAUUAUAUUGCUGUUAACUGUAGAGAAUACAUCAUCAUUCCAUAAAUUGGCAUAAAAUUUAUAUAAUGGGAGCAUAUGUUAGUUAGAAUUGGAAAAGAAAAAGGCCAGUCCUGUGUGUAUAGUCCAUAGAAUCACUAUUAACAUCUUUUACUGACAGUUAACAAUAAUUUGCUCUAUUCCCAUGAAGAUCUGGCACUUACUUGUAAAGUAAUACAAAUUAAAACCAAUCGAACCUUGAAUAAGUUUCACCUUUUUUGCUAAGGACUGGACUUAAGGAUCAAUUCCAUACCACCAGGUGAAUCUUAAUAAUAAUUUUAAUGGUUCCAGAUAAAAAAUAGUUCUAUUUUACUGUAGUUGUUCAUCCCUCACCAAGACAGCACCUUUUGUAAUAAUACAUGAUUUGGUACCAUCCACUCCGGAUCAUGACAAAUUUGGAAUUCAAAAAGUCAUGGAAAGUGAAGGCGCUGCAUGAGUCAAGAGGAUAUCCUCAGUUUCUGGCUCCAGUUGACUACAGGAAUGAUUUCUGAUAACGACUCACUGGUUCUGGAUGAGUUUUUCCAUGAGGGAGAUCAUAUCCCAUCUCAUCCCAUCCUACCCUACCCUACCCUACCCUACCCUACCCUACCCUACCCUACCCUACCCUACCCUAUCCUAUCCCAUCCUACCCUAUCCCAUCCCAUCCCAUCCUAUCCUAUCCUAUCCUAUCCUAUCCCAUCCCAUCCCAUCCCAUCCCAUCCUAUCCUAUCCUAUCCUAUCCUAUCCUAUCCUAUCCUAUCCUAUCCUAUCCUAUCCUAUCCUAUCCCAUCCCAUCCCAUCCCAUCCCAUCCCAUCCCACCCCACCCCACCCCACCCCACCCCAUCCCAUCCCAUCCCAUCCCAUCCCAUCCCAUCCUAUCCUAUCCUAUCCUAUCCUAUCCUAUCCUAUCCUAUCCUAUCCUAUCCUAUCCUAUCCUAUCCUAUCCUACAUCUUAACUCUCUCUCAUCUCCAAAGACUGGUGCUUGGAUGCAACUAAAGGAAAAAAUGAUUGCCAUAUAUGUUUUCCCUGAGGAAAAAAAUGAUGUGUCAGAAUCAUAAAAUGUGAAUACUUGAGAAAUAUGGUUUUAUUGUGAUUUUAUUAAGGAAGACAAGGAUUGAUGUAAACUAACACAAAAUUCUUUCAAUCAAAUUCUAACAUGAUGAAACUCUGAAGUUUUUCUUUAAAAUUGGAAGAAUCAUAUUAAUUUGACUGAAGCACUCUUGUUUGUUUUUAGUAUGUGUAUAUUUAAGAGAAAAAAAAAGAUUCAAUCUGAGAGAAUUAAGUUUUCUCUACUUAUGUAAAUGAAUUGCUAAUUCAGUUCACUUAAAAGUGCAGUUACAAGCUGAGGGGAAGAGAAUGCAGAAGAGAGGGCACUUUAGAAAAUGGCUUAAUGAGAGAAAAAAAAAACAGAAAAAAAAAGAAGGAAAUUGGAAAAAUACAAAAUAAAGAAUAUUUUCUUGCCAACGUAGAAGUCUUGAAAGAUCAUUCUAAGUGUAAAUCUUGUAGGCCUGGACUCAUCACCAUCUUAAUUCAGCUCUGUCUUAUUACCACUUCAGUAGCACACAGGUAUCUGUUUAUUAGAUGCCAAUUGUUUAGAAAUUCUUUUUAUAUGUGGUAAACCUCAUACUGAAAUGUUCAUUUCACAGCAAUCAGGAAAUACCUUUAAAAUGUUUUAUGAGCUCUUUUGAAUUUCAGUGGAAGACUUACUUGUUUUACCUGAUCUACAAAAAUUUUGAUGACUCAUGAGCUUUCUUUGACAAGUUUGUCUGUGUGGACUGCAGAGACAGAUUCUCAACAGUAUCCCCCAAAUAGAGAAAGGUGUAACAAAAUAAAGUUAUUAAUUAUAUGUUCUCAAUUUAGAUAUCCAAAUAAAUAAUUUUAAUUUGUUGAUCACAGUAAAUAGCAAUGAUGUCCUUGGAAUAGUAAGUAUACCAGAGUUAACAAACCUACUGAAUCUGAAGUUCUGAACCAAAAAAUGUUACACUGCACUGUACAUCACCUUUCCAAUAAGUAAAGUACUCAGUAUCCAGGUAACUAUUACUUUUACUCUAUUUUGUCAAGAACAGCACAAAUCUUCCACCAAAACACCACUAAUGUGAAAGAACUGACACACAGGUUGUAAACAUUUAUGUAGUGAUAUUUGCAUUGAAAAAGUUCUUAGUGAAAUAGAGAUGAAACUUGUAGAUGGCUAUACACACAUAAACUUUUUGGUGAAUUAGGUCUAGUGAACCAAUGGUUAUGUCUAGUUGAAAUCAAUUAUUAAAAUUCAGAUAACAGCUAUUCUUCUGUAGUUAGCAGGAAGAGAGAAAGAGAAAAAAAGGCUGCUCAUUCACAUAUCUGGGCCUAUGUAUCCUAAAUAUCCAUAAUCAGGCACUUCUGCAGUUGAUUCUCUUCUCACUGGCUAUAGAAGAAAUCUACGAGGGCUUCUAAAAAGUUAUGUCUGCUACUUUAUUAUAUUGGCCUACAAUAUCUGAGGUGGAUGUUGAUAGUAUAGCAGUAGAGGUUGAACCUUCCUGCCAGUAUUCCAUUAUGUUUUUUUUUUUUGCCAUGCAACAGAUGGCAGCAGAGGGAAGGUCUGACAGAAUGCUGUUUGACAUGGGAGCAUGCAUGAAAUGUGGAAUUCCUCCAUGUGGGAAAAAUUGCACCCACUGAUAUUCAUUGACACUUGCUGAACAUAUAUGGAGACCAAACAGUGGAUGUGAACACAGUGAAGUGAUGUGUGGUGUUUCAGCAGUAGCAACAGUGAUGUGAAAGACAAGCCAUAUUCCAGAUGGCCAUGAAGAUUUUUAUGAGCACAACAUUCAGGCCUUUGUUCAUUGCUAGUGAUGAAUAUGUACAAAAAUAGUAUCCUGUAGCUGAGAAUUUUGUCUGUCAGUGUUAUUGUACUCUUUGUGUCUGUUAUAGUUUCCAUGGAAAUAAAUAGGAGGCAUUACUUUUGGAACUACCAACAGAGAUAACCAGCUAUAAGCCAAAUUUCUAACUUUCAAAUGACUAAAUUUAGGUUAGAUGUAGUCCAUGCAUAACUGUAUUUUCUUAUUCUAUGAAGAAUGUAAGAAUGGCUACAGUAGUUUAUAUCCUAAGUCUCAACUGAUGGCUAGUAUUGCUUGUCUAGAAAAGAGUUUAUGAUAAGGGAAAUAAUAUGUCCGCAUUGUUCCCUAUAUGUUUGCAUUCUUCAGUCAUCUGACACUAAGCAUGAUACUCAGUUUGAGAUUUGGUCUUCAUAUCACAUUCAAAUAGGAAAUGCUGAGUGAUUUAAUGUAACUAAUGCAAUCUAAUCUGUAGCCAUUAGACAAAAAUAACAAUUAGACGUGCCACUUUUCUGCAUGGAUAUUACAAAUUUAAGGCCAUCCCUUAUAAAUGAAAAAUGCUACUUCAGAGUGUUUACUGAAAACAUGAGGGCAUUUUUACCACAAGAAAACUACACAGUGAUUGUUAUCUCCAUGUAAAAUCCUAACAGGCAUAAGGUAGAGCUAGUUUUAACCUCAGAGCACUGAGAUAAACCUGAAGAAGUAAAUACAAAGCUGACCUUCACUGACCAUAUCAAGGCAUAGAUAUAGAUAGCUAUUACAUUGUUUGAGAUAUUCUCUUUUUUGUUUUAUUUAUAAUAAAAUACUUCUGUCCUUUAUUUCUCCUUACUUCAGUGAUAUAAUAUGGAUGCUUUUCCAGUUCAGAGGUGAAGUUUUUUUCUCUGCAAAAGUAACUCUAAUCCCAGUUUUGUCCACUUCUGUGUCUGCAUUUCUUUAACUGGUCACUGAAUCACAAAAUCACAGAAUUGCAGAAAUUGAAAGAGACCUCAAGAGAUCAUCGAGUCCAGCCUGCCCCUGCUAAAGCAGGUACCCUACAAGAGGUCACACAGGUUGCUGAUGAUGUUGAACAAGACCAGACCCAGCACUGACACCUGGGAAGCACCGGUAAUUAAAGGCCUCAAGCCAGAUUCUGUGCUGCUGAUGACAACCCUGUGAGCUCUGACAGUGAAACAGUUCUCAAUCCAGCUCACUGUCCACUCAUCUGUGCCACAUUCUCUACAUUUCAUAACCGGGAUGUUGUGGGAGACGGUGUCAAAUGCCCUACUGAAGUCACGGUACACAACAUCCACUGCUCUCCCUCCAUGUACCCAGACAGUGGUGACAUCAUAGAAGGAUAUCAGGUUGGUCAAGCAUGAUUUCUCCUUGGUGAAUACAUAUUGACAACUCUUGAUAACUUUCUUCUCUUCCAAUUGCUUGGAGAUGGCGUAAAGAGCAAGUUGUCCAUCAUCUUUCUAGGGAUGGAGGUGAGGCUGACUGGCCUGUAGUAUCCCAGAUCCUCCUUCUUGCCCUUUUUGAAGACUGGAGUGACAUUCUUUAUCUUCCAGUCUUCAGACACCUCUCCCAUUUGCCAAGACCUUUCAAAGAUUAGAUAGAUAGCAGUUUAGCAGUCAUCUCUUUUAGUUCUCUCAGCACAUUUGGGUACAUCCCAUCAGGUCCCAUGGAUUUAUGUACAUUGAUUUUUGCUAGAUUCACUCUGACCAGAUCCACCUUGAUCACUGGAAAGUCCACCUUUGCCCAGACUCUCUUACCUCCAGGGUCUGGAAUUCCAGAGGGCUAGUCUCAGCAUAAAAGACUGAAACAAAGAGGGCAUUCAGGAUCUCUGCCUUCUCAGCAUCCCCUGUUACCAAGGCACCCAUCUCAUUUAGUAGGGAACCCACAUUUUCCCUAGUCUUCCUUUUACUGUUGACAUAGUUAAAAAAAAUAUUUCUUCUUAUCCUUUUCCUCCUUUGAAGGGUUUAAUUCCAAGAGGGCCUUAGCCUUCCUACAAUUCCUGAAAACAUUCCUUACUCUUGCCACCUUUUCCCAGUUUCUUACUCUUACUGGCCCAGGAAUGGACCAGUCUUGAGCUUGGAAGAAAUUGUGUUUAAGCACCAACUAGCUCUCAUGGUUCCCCUUUCCUUCUAACACUCUAGCCCAUGGAAUAACUCCAAGUAGGUCUUUGCAGAAGUAGUUAUUUGUCUCUCGUGAAGUCCAGGGUAGCAAUUCUACUUAUUGCUUUGCUUCUCCCACACAAGAUCUUGAACUCCACCAUCUUGUGACUGCUGCAUCCCAAGCUUCUCCCACAUAUCACAUCCCUGACCAGCCCUUCCUUGUUAGUAGAAACAAGUUCAAGUAGCACACCCCUCCUAGUCGGCUCCUCCACUACUUGUGUCAGAAAGCUGUCAUCAAAGCAUUGCAGGAACUGCCUGGACCUUGUGUGACUGUCCAUGCUUCUUAACCAACAAAUAUCAGAAUGGUUGAAAUCCCUGAUAAUAACCAGUGCUGGGGAUUGCAAGGCUUCUUCCAGCUGUUUGUAGAAGGCCUCAUCCACUUCCUUCUCCUGAUCAGGUGACCUGUAGUACACAUCCACAACAAUGUCACCUAUGUUAGCACUCCCCUUAAUUCUUACCCACAAAUUCUACACUUGUUCCACCCAAGUGGAGCUCAAUACAUUCUAAUUGCUUUCUUGCAUGAACAGCAACUCCACCACUUCAUCUUGCCAGCUGGUCUUUCCUUAAGAGGACAUAGCCAUCCAUGACAGCAUUCCAGUCAUGUGAGCUGUCCCACCAUGUCUCCAUGGCUGCAAUGAAAUCAUGGCCCUGUGAUCACACACAGAUAUAUAGUUCUUCCUGUUUAUUUCCCAUGCUGUGUACAUUGGCAUAUGGGCACUUUAGGGAAGCAGAGGGUGCAGAUAUCUCUAGAGGAGUGCUGAGGGUUUAAGCUGAGCUAUUGGCAAAGGAAACUUGUUAACCUAAGUUAAAUAAUUAAAAAAGGAAGUAUCUGAGAGGUAGGCCUGAGAAGUACUGAUAAUUGCUGUCAUACCUUACAAGAAUAUUAAAAAUCAUUUGUCUGUUCCUCUUCCCACUUUAUACUACAUCAUUCACUCAAAUUUGCAUGAUGUUUUCAAUUGCUUCAUGUUGAAUAUCAGAUUAAGAAGUAUCACAUAUUCAGUAUAAUUUCUUAUCCCUUCCUGGGUGCAUCUUCAUGUUUACUGUCAUUCACACUGGAAAUUCCCAGUAAAUACAAAAAAUGUGAGAAUACCAUGAAUGUAAGUCACUGAAAGUGGUAUCUCCUGUUUACUUCCAUGGAAAACAAAACAGAUACAAAGAGCACAAUAACGCUAUUUGAUAGAGCAAAUUCUAAGCCACAAACUACUAUUUUUCAACAUGAUUACCUUUACUUUUGCCAGCAGCGAACAAGAGUUUCCAUGCCACGUUCAUAAAAUCUGCUCCAUUGGAGGCGACCUACUGCUGCUAUCACCAUUGCUGAAACACAUCACCCACCACCUCACUGCUCACAUACACUGUUUGGUCUCCAUAAGCAUUCAGCAAGUAUUGAUGAAUGUCAGUAGGUACAAUUAUUUUUGAAUGGAGGAAAUCAAUGACACACCUUUGCUUCAUAACACCCUACAGUAUUUUAUCAGACUGCCCCUCUAACGCCAUCCAGCACACAGCAACAAAAUAUAGAGUAUUGGUGGGAAGGUUCAGCCUCUACUGCUAUACAACCAACAUUCCAUGUCUGCCAUUGCAGGCCAAUGUAAUAAAAUAUGAUGCAUCACUUUUGGAGCAGCCAUCAUGCCAUGAGUAUUUUGGCUUUCAUAUAUUGUAACUGAUAUAAUAUGUUCAACUUUUCUUAAUAUAAUAGUUUAGAGUCUUAUUUUUAUUUACUAUUUUCUUUCUUGUUCCUAAGAAAGUCUUUGAAUGUUGCAACUCUCAUUAUCUAGUCUUGCUGGGAAAACCAUAAAAAAGUCAAAGCACCUAUAUAUGUAGAAAAUAUAAUAUGAAGCAAAUCAAGAAUGAAAGAUAAAGAAUUAACUCAGAAAACAAUGAGAUUUGUAUUUAAAAAAAUACAUAACUUUGACUUUUUAUUAUUAUUCACAUAUAUUCUGCCUACAAGUUCUAAACUCUUAGAAAUACUGCAGUUGAUAAUCACACAGAGCAUUCCAAAAGCACCAAUAAAUUCAGUGAAAUACUCAUGAUGGUGACCUUAUGUUAUUAGUGUUACCUCAAAAAAGUCUCAAUAUAUGUAGCUGACAGCUGUACAUGUGCAUUUUGCUUCGGUAUAUCAGAUUUUUGUGCAGAUGAAGAUUGUGUUAUGACUGUCUCUUUCAUAGGUGAUAACAGUUCUGUUUCUCUUUGAGAGGUGCAAAACACAAUUGCUCCUAUGUGAUCCACAGACCUUAUGGAUGUGGAGGGUGAAAUAUUACUUAGGACAACUGUGUAGAUGCAACAAACUAUCAGCAUUGCAUAAACCAUUCUCCAUAUUUUGUCAUUUGACAGUUUCUGAUUUAUGCUGUUUCUCCAUCCAUCUGAAGUAGGUGUUUUUGUGCUUGUGUCAUGACUCUGUGUGAGUCCAGUUUCCUUCAGACAUACUUCUGGUUCCUGGCGUUACUCUUUCACCACACAGACUGUACGGAGUGCAUUUCAAAAGCUACCCUACCAAAUAAAAUAAUGGCUAUUUCUAGAAAUGUUGGUAGACCAAACUCUUUCUGUAGGCAGUCUUAGGCCAGUUGUAAAUAUCUAUAUUUAAAAAUACAAGCAUAACUCUAGAUUCCAGAGCAGCAGAAGUAUCUCAUUGAAUCAACUCCGUCUGUUUUUAGGCAUACUUUCAUGAUUCACAAAAUGAAGUCUUAUCUAUUACUUUCUACAGACCUUGUUCUUCUUCUUGUUUUCCUUUAAAGAAGAAAAGAUGCAAAAGCGGUGGUACCUACAUGUAGAAUUCUGAAAAUAAUGGAAAUUAAGAUAAUAAAUCUCUCCUAACAAGAACAUAUAUGAUGUUUCUGCUUCUUAGAGAUAAGUCAGGUGUUUGGAAAGCUUCUUGCAAUCACUGAGUGUAGUGCUUUAGAAGUCUUGUCUGUUGAGUGAGAAAAAAGAACAAAUAGAAGGCAGGUCUUUCUUAUAUAAGGGUUUCUAACACUCAGUAUUCAUCAAAGCCUCUAUCCUGUCCAACCCUUUUACAAUGAUCUCACUUUCAUGAGAAGAAACAAGUGUUUGUUAAAGUAUUACGUCUCCUGCUAUAUAUCAAGGGUUUGUGACAAAGCCCGAACAAGUGACCAAGACACAUCUUUUAUACAUUUUCAGUCCUAAAGAAGAGACUGGACUGGGGCUUUCUUAGAGUCAUAUUCCUUGUAUCCACAAACAAGUAACGAUGUUGCAUAAAUUAGGGACUGCAUCUACCCUUUCUAAGAGAGGAAAGGAGAUGUUUUCUGUGUAAUAAAUCGGCUGCAAGACUAACUAAAUGCAUUUUGUAGUACUUUUUAUGGAGCAAGUGCAAUAUUUUUUACAGAUAAAGCAUAGCCAAGAGCAAAGGUUGAUGAUGGCUAUAUAAUUAAAGGCAUUCAAACUGUGCAAGUUGUCUGCCAACAAACGCUUUGCAAUGAAAAAGGCUCCAUAUUCAGCAACUGCUUUAAAAAUACUGUUCAAGCAUGGAUUUCCUUAAACUACCACUUGUCUGGCAAUGGCUUCCUCACCUGUGUAAUAAGAUUAAGAGAUCUACUUGAAAGCCAGAAAAGCUUUGCAAGUCAAGUGGAUAUUUGCAUAUUUUACAUUGCCAAAUACCUAAAGGAGAGAAACGUUUUCUGAAAGAUGAGGAAAACGUACAGAACACUAGAACUAGCACAAGGUUUUUAGACUCAAAGCAGCCCAAGUUCCUGAUUUUUGCCAGCUCUGCCAGCAUUGUUAAGUUAGUAAAAAAUAAAAAUAAAAAUCUGUUUGCAAUGACUACAUGAACUUUACAAACUAGUAAAUAGUUAAUAUUUAAUCUUAAAUGUACUUCGGGUUUUAAAUCAAGAGAAACUAUUUCAGUGUCUCAGGUGUCAGAUGGGGUAGCUAAUGAAGUGCUUUCUUGAGUGAUUUCUGUCACAAGCCUGCAUUCUGCAAAAUAGACCUUGGAAGAUUACAGAUACAUCAGAGGUAUCUGUAGAUACCUUUCAAGAAUAAAAAUAACAAAAUAACCUUACUGUAGUGUUUUGUGACAUUUAUUUUCUUUGAAUAGCAAAAUACACUCUAUAUCAGUUUCAAAAAUAAAAUAAAUUUUAAAAAGUGUCAAUUUUCUUAAUGUGAUUUGCUUUAUUUUGCUAGCAUGAGAUUACUGAAAUCAGUUGGAAUACCUGAAUACAUUAAAAAUAGGGGAAAUGCAAUGUGUUAUGGGCAAAAAGUUCUAUAUUGAAUAGAAAAUUAUGGUAAGUCACAAAUAUUUCUGCUUAGUCUUAUACUAAGUACAGGCAAACAGUAAGCUUUCUCUUUUAAGUCCUGCCAGUUCAGGCCAGUAGUGACCCACAGUAUACUUUUCCUGUCCAGAAUUUCUCUUGAGAAAAGCUUGCCAAUCACACAAAAUUACUUGGUGCUUUGGGGAUCUGGACAUAUACAGAUAAGGGAAUCAACUACCAAACUUAUUUGAUGUGUAUCAUAAAUCAGAAGUGAACGUUAGUCUCCCAAGGGAACAAAAAAAAAUGGCCUACUGUAUUAAAAUACUUUGAUACCUUUGAUGUUCAAUGUUUAGAGCAUGAACUAUUUUCUAAACAUCUUUGAACUGAAGCUGAAAGAUACACUACUGAAAUCUACUCUUGCCUUCCUGCCUGCUUUUUUUUUUUUUUUUUUUUAACCAGCAAGGAGCAUCAAUUCCAUCUUAGACACAGAUAUGUGAUCAUUUGGCAAUGCUCUAAAAUUCUAAUUUAAAAUUGUUAUUUUCUUCUGUGCACAGGAAGACAUUUUUUGGUGGUUUUCUUUCAGGGGAGUGAAUGGUUUUUAGUUUUUCACCAAUUGAUAUCAUGAGAGAGAAUGAAAGACUGUGUAUACAUAAGCCACUGAAUAAUCAGUGAACCCAUUUAAGAGAGAUACCUACUGAGGUCAAUGAAAUUGGCAAUCUAAUGAACAAUCUAAUAGUAUUGUUACAAGUUUUAUGGUUUCUGUUUGUAAUUAACUUUAUGUGACAUUUAUUAUAAAAAGAUCAAAAAUUAUUAGUAGCAAUUACAUUUAAUGCAGCCAUGCAAUUGCACUUAUAUACUUAUUCAACUUUUAUUUUCAUUGACUCCCUGCUUCCUAAGUUAAUGCCUCUCUAUGUAUCAAACAACUUCAAUGUUUAUGAACUUUGGCCAAUAUGAGUAGAAAGUCUUUGUUUUCAUAAUGAUUUAUUUGAAUUCAGUUCUGUGGAUUUUAUCUGGAUACAUUUCUUGCUAUAUGAGAGAAAUCUCUUGAACAAAAGGAAGAAAAAGUAAUCCUUUAUAUUGUACUCAGUUCAUAGUUUCUUUGAAGUGAUGCUGAUAAAGGCAGUUUUGUGUUUUUCAGAAUGGAUUACUAACACAGUAAUAAUCAAAGAGCUGAUUUGUGUCAGUUGUACCACAUAGGGAAGACCCUCUAACUAGAUAUUUUAGAUGUUGAUAGCAUUUAUGAUUGAGUUUUGUAUAUACUUUGUUACAGAUGUGCAUAACUGUCAAAACCCAGGUUUUGUGAAAUGCUAAAAUGAACACACAGACACUGAAAAUAUGAAAAAGUUACAAUUAUGUUAUUCACCACUGAGUUUACAAAAACAGCACAGGUGUCAUUGCCACAGCAAGUCCAUAGAGUUAGUCUGUAUGUUCCACUGCCUCGUCCUGUAGCCCUGAAGUCACAGGUGCCACUGUCAGGCUGAAACCUCCUUUCAGAUGCUCUCUGUCUGGAAGCUUCAAAUCUACUGGAGAAUUCAAAUAGAUGCGAAAAGUCUUUGCAUUUUCUCUACUCAUAUUCACACUGUUCCUUGCCAGUGCUGUCAUAGCCAUGGACUCUACAGGAACAUAAGCAAAAGUCAUUCCAUAUCAGGGAAAAGCAUGUGAUACAGUCACAACAGCCCCUUGUAAUACAAUAAGCAUAGGGCAAAGUGGCUGGAAAGCUCCAUACUGGAGAAGGAUUUGGGGGGUUAGUUGACAGCCAGCUACACAUGAGCCAGCAGUAAGCCCAGAUGUCCAAGAAGGCAUCCUGGGUUAUAUCAGAAAUAUUGUCUGCCCAGGGAAGUGGUGGAUUCACCAUCCCUGGAUGUUUUCAAGGAAAGGGUAGAUAUGACACUUAGGGACAUGGUUUGUGGGCAUGGUGGUGAUGAAUCAGUGGUUGAAUUAGAUAAUGUUAGUGGUCUUUUUCCACCUUAAUGAUUCUCUGAUCCUAUGAUCAUUAAAUAGGGAAGAUAUCUGAAUAAUAGUUCCAAGGAGGCGUAUAGCAGUUUCAGGGAGAAAACUUAUUGACAGACUGGAACAUUUUGAAAUUUCCAAAUUAAAAUUUCUGAACAAUUAUUUUAUCUGUGCAAAAAUCAUAUUUGGAUAUUUUACAACAAUCUGUGGGGAGGGCUACUGUUACUUUUGAUAAUAAUUCAUUGGUGCUUUUAUUGUUUCUUGGCUGACUUUCAACAUGUAGCUCCUACAAUGCAAGGGAAGGUAGACACGGUUUCUGUUACUACACUGAUGGAAUAUUGAAACCUGAAUUGAAGUGCAUUAGCUGAAGUCAGACAAGGUUGUGGUAGCGAUCACUAGGGAAAUUAGAAAACCUUGAAAAACUUUGAAGACAUUUUUUGCUAGGGCACCUAUGUAUUAAAAAACUGUGUCUCUCAGUUAUGAUAAAAUUGUAUUACAUAACCUGAGUGAUCUCAGGAGUUAGUAAGUGACUGAUUUUCUGUUCCCUUGGUAAGCAAUAAUUCAUGCAAACAGAUUGACUGAAGUUUUACCGUGCUAGUGUAAAGAGAAAACAGUGAAAUAUUGUUUGAGAUGUUUUUACAAGUGAAAAUGACAGCAUAUGAAGAAAUAUGUUAUAAAACAGGACAGUAUUAAAAAAGUAAAGAAAGCUAAGCUCAGUCUUUUGAAGAAAAAUAUUAAAGAAGUUGGUAGGAAAAAAAAGAACUCGUUUCAUGUACAUAGAGAGAAAACAGGCAUUAAUAACCUGCAUGUGCACAGAUCAGCAAAUUUAUGAAGAUAUGUAUGAACAGAGAACACGACUUCAAAGCCAUUUGUAAUUACAGAAUGGUUUAUAUUUAAUCCUAAAUGUAUGGAAGGGGAUAAUGAGCUGGGAAAAAAUGAAGGCAUAUCGAACUAUUCUAGCAAAAACAAGGGAAUUUUUGCCAUUUUGUGUACUUUCUAUAGGCUAGAGGGACAAAUUUGUGUAUAGUAGAGUUCCUAUGAAAUUCAGGGUUCUGAUUUGACACAUGAAGUGAAAACAUCUUGGAUGCUUUAAUUUUACUGUGAAAAACCAGCAUAUGAUAUCAUGCACAUUAUAUAUGCAUAUAAAUGAUAUUAUUUUAUGGGUUUUAUGAUCUUUGUUACUGGUAUUCCACAUCAUAAUAUCAUGUAAAGCAUUGGGAGUUAAAAGUUGAGAACAAUUAAUUCUGUUAUUUUUUAUGUAGCAGCUAAUCACAAGGCAAAAUGCUUCCUUUGAUAGGAUCUGAGAAACUGAAAAGCUUGUCUCAGAGAAGUAUUCAUCUCAGCUAAUUUUAAACACUUAUAACAUGGAAGUCUGCAUCUGAGCUAAUGGCCUUAGGCACAUAUGACCUUUCCCUGGUCCACCAUAGAUGAGAUGAGAAGAAAUCUGAAUCUAAAUCCAAAAGAGCAUUUGAAUGUGGAAGUAAAAGCCUGCAUUGUGAAGCCUGAGAGAGAAAUUUGCCCAUGCUUAAUGGUAUUAAUAAAGUUCUGGGGAAGUAGAAUUGAAAAAUUCAGAAGCUUUUUUUUUUCUUUUUUCUUUUUAAUAUCUUGAUGUCUAAGAAUAAAUAAUAAUCCUUUUUCUUUGUAUUCACUUAAAACCGUAAGUUUGCCAAGACAAUUAUUUUCUUGUUUUCCAUAGUUAAUAUUCUGCAAAGUCUUCAAUAAGGAGGUUUCACAGAUGAUUUAAGAACACUUUGAAAGUAUAAUGUACUUCUGUGAAAUGUGGAGGCUGCGAUGAAAUAUUUAAACAUCAAUGGAUUGAGAUGGAAAAUACCUAAUGGCUUUCCUUGCGGAAUCAUGCAUUGAAUAUUUUGGAUUCAUUUUAAAUCUUAGGGGAUCCACCUAACAGUUUAAUUGCUGAGAAAAAAAAUGCUGCAAUUGACAUCUAAACCAAAUUGCUUUAACCAAGUCCUGAAUUAAAAAUAUUUGUGUUUUUAUUACAGAAUAUGAAUUUCAAUAUAUCCGUAAUGGCAGAAUCCCCCAAAAAGCUAUUAACUGAGAUAACUGGCUGAGGAAAUCAACCCACUAAGCAAUUUUGUGAAAAUUAAAAUUCAUUUUCCACACAUUGUAGUGUACUGGUUCAGUAUAGCACCAGUUCAGUAUAGCACCUUUUUCUGUGAUAUUUCCCAUUUGUUAAAAUAGGAGUAGUAGUCAUCCUGUUUCUACCAGUUUAAGAGCCUUAAUAUCAGCAAAGCAAGAGUGCUGAGGAUUUGACAGACACGCUUAGGUCAUUAUUUCAUAGUGCAAAUAUUUUUUAAGUAUGUACAAGGUAAAACCAAAUGAAACAAAUCCAUUAAGCAUCAUUUUUUAUAGCUUUUCUUCCUAUUCCUUGGAAACCUCUGGGGACAGUGAUUCCACCACCUCCCUAGGCAGCCUGUUCCAAUACUUCAUCAGUCCAAGAACUUUUUCCUGAUAUCCAACCUGUUCAGCUAUCCCCCAGUUCAACUCAAAGCCGUUACCUCUUAUACUACUACUGUUACAUGUGAGAAGAGACCAGCCUCCAUCUUGCUACUUCUUCCUCUCAGACUAUUACAGAGCUGUAAGAUCUUUCCUGAGCCUCCCCCUCUCCAGACUAAACAAUCCCAGUUCCAUCAGCUGCUCCCCACAGGACUUUUGUUCCAGACCUUCCAGCAGCUUCUUUGCCCUUCUUAGGAUAUGGUCCAGGGCCUCAGUGUCUUUCUUGUAGUGAGGGGUUCAAAACUGAACGCUGUAUUUGAGGUAUGGCCUCACCAGUGCUGUGUACACGGCAAUGAUCGAUCUCAUGCCUAGUUCUGCUGACUACACUCUUUCUGAUACAAGCCAGAAUGCUAGUGUUCUUGGCUACCUGAGCACACUGUUGAGUCAUGUUCAGCUGAGCACUGGCCAAGAAUCCCAGGUCAUUUUCCACCAAGCAGGUUUCCAGCCACUCUACCCCAAGCCUGUAAUGUUGCACGUGGUUGUUGUGACCAAAGUGCAGGAUUCAGUACUUGGUCUUGUUGAAGCUCAUGCAAUUUGCCUCAGUCCAUCAAUCUAGACUGUCCAGAUACCAACGUAGAACUUUUCUACUCUCAGACAUGGUUUCAUCUGAAGAUUUACUGAUGGCCCACUUAAUCACCUUGUCCAGAUCAUCAAUGAAGAUAUUAAACAGGACCAGCACUAAUACUGACCCCUGGAGAACACCAUUUGUGACUGGUCACCAGCCAGAUUUAACUCCAUUCACCACCACACUCUGGGUCCAGCCCUCCAGCCGGUUCUCUACCCAGUGAAGACUGUACCUGUUCAAGCCAUGGACUGCCAUCUUUUCCAGGAGAAUGCUGUGGGACACAAUGUCAAAGGCUUUAUUCAUGUCUAGGUGGACUACAUCCAUAGCUUUUCCCUCAUCUACUAGGGAAUUUUUGUAGUCAUGAUCCAAAUUUUCAGAAGGUAUCUCUGUAUCCUGAUGAAGAGAUCUUUUAAAUGGCUCAUUGAAGGAGACUCAGAUUGCCUAGAAACUGAUGCGCAUUAUGGUUCCACACCCUUACUCAUAAUUUUUAUAAUUAAUAAAAAUUCAGAGAGAAACUCCUUCCAUUUUAAAUUUGCCCAUAGCACUCCUGUGCUAGAGUUUAGAAUUCUCGACUCUGAAGAUAAACGGAAAAUUAUUUUUUCUAAUUGUAUCCAGGAGCUUUUAUGUAGCAUAUUUUAAAAUGUCACAAAAUAAUGAAGUUUAGAUAAGCCAUUAAGGAAAAAACAUGUUUUUCAACUGAGUAAAGAUGCCAGCAAUUCAAACAAUAGUGCUGCAUUUGUCAGAUAAUUAGCCAAUGAUUGUCUUUUGAACUCUGAAAAUAAAUUUAGAAGGAGCAGAUAUGCUGUGCUGUAAAAUGUGAGAGCUUUCAGAGUUUUUUUUUUUUCUUCUUUUUAAGACUUUUGCUUAAAGAUUUUUUUUGAAGUGUUUUCUAACUAAGUACUUGAAUUAUGUACACAUGAAUAGCCUUUAAGGAAAUCAUACAGGUCUCUUCAACUAUAUGCUAUACAGAUUUUAAUUUUACAGAUUUUUAUUAUUUUAGUUCCACUAAAUGCUUUUAGUUAAGGUUGACCAAAAUUUUCCCCUUUGAGACCAGUUUUUAAAUUCCUUGUAAUUGCCAUAUUUAAACUGUUCAUGCUGUUGUGCCCCAUGCCAUAUGUCUACUCUGGGAUGAAUCGGUUUGGAAAAUUCCAUAAAAAUGGUUCAGUAGUUUUGCAGUAUUGACAAAAAUGCUUUUUUUUCCCCCCAUAACUAAUAUAUUAUGCUGAAGCAGUUAACUUGAAUACUGUUGUUAUUUCCUAAUGAACCUCUGUUUAUGUUGUAUUGAUGUCCUGUAGAAAUGAGUCCAAAUGAAACUUCUGAUAAAAUCUUAGUAACUUGUGGGAAUACAAGAAAAACUGUUCAGAGGAGCAGCUGUGGAGCAAGAUAAACAGCAGUAAGCAAAAGAGCAAAACAAACAAAAAUUGAUCUCUCCUCCCAGCUAUUCAUUUUACUAGGGAUCAAACUCUAUGGUCAAGUAAAAGUUUUUGAUGAACGUUACUUUAGAAUAAAUAUAUCUAAUUAAUUGAAUAGUACUUAAAACGUCAUUUCAACUCUACACAUUUAUUUUUUAGGUGCAAAUCUUUCCCAAGAAUAUUCACAGAACAGAGAAUCAGGCGUAAAACCUAUCUACAUUUACACACUACUUUUUGACAGCAACAUCUUAAAUGUACUAUACUAUUCUGACAUUUUUAAGAGAACUUUUAAGAGAAAAUACUUAUGAGUAUCUGCAGUUCAAAUUUAUGCUAUUCUUUCUUUAUGGUAACUCACAAUAUUGUACACUAACUAUCAAAAGAAAGAAAUUUGUGAUUCCCCUGCAAUAUUUGCCUUUGGAUAAAAGAGGAAAAAAAAUCUAAUGCCUUCACAGACUGUAAUAAGUCUAAAAUUCACAAACUAAACCUCUAGUUCUAAUAACAUGGAAAACAUGCUUAACUCUGGUCACUCAAAUACUUCAGGGUAAGUCCACCUUCAUCUGUUGAAUACUCUUGCAUCCUCAGCACAGUAGCCAGGAAAAUUGACUGUGUGACAUAUCC